ensembl:snoRNA
UUGCAUGUGGACAUACCUCUCCUCAUUCUCUUUGGAGCAGGAGUACAUCCAGAACAUGCUAUAUUAACAGGAGUUCUCAGGGCUGCCAACCUUACAGUAGAGGUUGAGUGGUAGUAUAUUUCUCCUACACAA